rnacentral:rRNA from 1 species
GACGAACGCUGGCGGCGUGCUUAACACAUGCAAGUCGAACGGAAAGGCCCUGCUUUUGUGGGGUGCUCGAGUGGCUAUCGGGUGAGUAACACGUGAGUAACCUGCCCUUGACUUUGGGAUAACUUCAGGAAACUGGGGCUAAUACCGGAUAGGAGCUCCUGCUGCAUGGUGGGGGUUGGAAAGUUUCGGCGGUUGGGGAUGGACUCGCGGCUUAUCAGCUUGUUGGUGGGGUAGUGGCUUACCAAGGCUUUGACGGGUAGCCGGACUGAGAGGGUGACCGGCCACAUUGGGACUGAGAUACGGCCCAGACUCCUACGGGAGGCAGCAGUGGGGAAUAUUGCACAAUGGGCGGAAGCCUGAUGCAGCAACGCCGCGUGCGGGAUGACGGCCUUCGGGUUGUAAACCGCUUUCGCCUGUGACGAAGCGUGAGUGACGGUAAUGGGUAAAGAAGCACCGGCUAACUACGUG